UGUAUCUGAAGUCUGACGAGGAUGAGAACCUCCGGGGGCAAGAGGUUCGACUCGAGCGAAGCGAGAGAACGUUGCGUCAGCAACGGCCUGCAGGGCGAGCCACGCAGUGGCGAGUCAUCCUCUAUCACCGACCA
rnacentral:sRNA from 1 species